CCUACGGGAGGCAGCAGUGGGGAAUAUUGCACAAUGGGGGAAACCCUGAUGCAGCGACGCCGCGUGAGUGAAGAAGUAUUUCGGUACGUAAAGCUCUAUCAGCAGGGAAGAACAUGACGGUACCUGACUAAGAAGCCCCGGCUAACUACGUGCCAGCAGCCGCGGUAAUACGUAGGGGGCAAGCGUUAUCCGGAUUUACUGGUGGUAAAGGGAGCGUAGACGGCAGCGCAAGUCUGGAGUGAAAUCCCAUGGCUUAACCAUGGAACUGCUUUGGAAACUGUGCAUCUAGAGUGCAGGAGAGGUAAGCGGAAUUCCUAGUGGAGGGGUGAAAUGCGUAGAUAUUUGGAGGAACACCAGUGGCGAAGGCGGCUUACUGGACUGUAACUGACGUUGAGGCUCGAAAGCGUGGGGAGCAAACAGGAUUAGAUACCCGAGUAGUC
rnacentral:rRNA from 1 species